UUUUUAAAGCAAAAUCUUCAGUAAGUGUCAAACUUGGCUACUAUAAUGACAUCAGCACCACUAAAGGCCCAACAGAAGAGCAACAAAUCACACCAGAGGAUUAUGAUGAUGCAAUCACUGCUGGUUGGAGACAUUGUGCUAAAGAUGACUUACCAGAAAACUAUGAUGA